rnacentral:rRNA from 1 species
CUCGCCAGAUGACUAGCUACCUGAAAUCAAUUAUAAAUUGAUAACAUAAGGGAAAAUAAUGAUAUUACCUUAUUAUUAGUGUCGCCCAAAUCUGGUGCCAGAAGACUCGGUAAGGCCAGAGACACAAACGUUAAUCGUCUUAAUCAGGCGUAAAGGGUUUGUAGGCGGCUUAAAAUUUUACUAAAAAUAAGUAAAGAAUAAAAGCUAGAAUCAAAUAGAGGAUAGAACAAAUAAUGCUUAGAGUAGAUCUGAUAUUCUUAGAUACUAAGUAGAAUAUUAAAGGCGAAAGCUUUUUUCCAUUAAUGAUUGACGCUCAGAAACGAAGGUGAGGAUAGGAAAUAGGAUUAGAUACCCAGAAUACCCCUCUCUGUCAACGAUGAAUGGUAUUUAUUAGUAAAUUAAUUUUAUUAAUAGUAAUGUUAACACGAUAACCAUUCCGCCUUGUGAGUACAACUGCAAAGUUGAAAACCCAAAAAAUUAGUCGGUUUCGGAGCNNNCGAAGUGAAGCAUGU